AUAUUCUUUAGUGUGGUUUUAAAUUUUCUAAGCACUUUCUACAUUUGUAUUAAUGUAUUUUAAGCUCUUUUCCAUGGUAUAUGGGAAUCAUUAUUAUUUUUUUAUUAAUUAAUUUAGUAAAACUUCAUAAUACUUCCUAAAUCGAUGGAAUAACCACUAUAAAAUAACUAUUUUCUUGAAAAACGGAGACAACAAAGGCUCCAAAUCUCUUUGAACAUCAUCAUAGGUUAGUGCAGGAUGAAACUACGCAUUAAAACCAUAGUGUCAUAUUUUAUGAAAUUUUCUCAAAAUCCAUGUGUUAACCCCUUCGAAAAUAUUGAGUUUUUGGUAAAUACUUUAUAUAUUGAAGCCUAUAAUCUUUAGUGUUGUUUUAAAAUUUCUAACCACAUUCUACAUUUGUACUAAUGUAUUUUAAGCUCUUUUUCAUGGUAUAUGAGAAUCGUUAUAAUUUGUUUCUCAAUUAAUUUAGUAAAACUUCAUAAUACUCCCUAAAUCAAUGAUAUAACAACUACUAUAAAAUAACUAUUUUCUUGAAAAACAGAGACAACAAAGGCUCCAAAUCUCAUUGAACUUCAUCAUAGGUUAGUACAUGAUGCAAAUAUGCAUUAAAAAAAUAUUUUCAUAUUUUAUAAAAUUUUCUCAAAAUCCAUGUGUUAACCCCUUCAAAAAUAUUGAUGUUUUGAUAAAUAUUUUAUAUACUGAAGCCUAUAAUCUUUAGUGUUGUUUUAAAAUUUCUAACCACAUUCUACAUUUGUAUUUAUCUAU